rnacentral:rRNA from 1 species
AUAUUAUUCAGCGGAGGAAGAGAAAACAACCGUGAUUCCCUCAGUCAGGGGCGACCGAACAGGGACCGGACUCGUUGCCGAAUCAGGCUCUUAAAAGGGUUUGAGUUGUGGCACAAACGCCGAUUAGUGGUUGGUUUAACAGACUGGUGAAAUUCAAUGUGCAAAGCAGACCCCUUGCUGGAUCCAACCUCUCAUGUGAGUAUUGAGCCCAAGCCCGGUGGUAGCCCGUUGAGCCAGAAACUGUAGCCUCAUGAAACGG